rnacentral:misc_RNA from 1 species
AAGUCGUAACAAGGUUUCCGUAGGUGAACCUGCGGAAGGAUCAUUAACAAAAUAAAAAUGAAAAAAACCUAAUUAAUCACCAGUGAGUUGUUUUCUGAAUUAGAAAGAUAGUUAUCGCUUUCUUUCUUAUUCAUUGUUACUGAGGGAGUGUUUGACGAAAAAGGGUUUGUCCCUAUUCUGAUAUAUUCUUCCCUCUUUAACUUUCUACAUUUAAACCCCAAACAAAAAAACCAAAUUUUAAACCAAUGAUAUACUAUUAUAAACAAAAUAUAAAAAAAAAAUAUGAGUACAACUCAUAACGAUGGAUGACUAGGUUCUCGC